rnacentral:rRNA from 1 species
GAUGAACGCUGGCGGCGUGCCUAAUACAUGCAAGUCGAACGAGGUGCUUUUUGUAGCAAUACUUAGAACAGUUAGUGGCAAACGGGUGCGUAACACAUUGGUAACCUGCCUCAAAGUCGGGCAUAAUCCCGCGAAAGUGGGACUAAUUCCACGAUGGUCAUCGAAGGUGAGAUUCCUUCGAUGUAAAGUCGCAAGACGCUUUGAGAGGGGCCUAUGGCCUAUCAGCUUGUUGGUGAGGUAACGGCUCACCAAGGCUAUGACGGGUAGGGGGUGUGAGAGCACGACCCCCCUCACUGGGACUGAGACACUGCCCAGACACCUACGGGUGGCUGCAGUCGAGAAUAUUCCCCAAUGGCCGAAAGGCUGAGGGAGCGACGCCGCGUGCAGGAAUAAGGCCU